rnacentral:lncRNA from 1 species
AAAUUAAAUGAUCAGUAAACACAGGUCUAAAGGUGUUGCUUGUUGUUGAUUUCCUGAAGUCCUUUUAAUCAACAAUUAUAUUCACAGACUAUGGAAAGAGGCCAGUCUUGGAUUUUCUGCAGGGAAUAAGGAGGCUGUCUAGUUGCUUUAUUGUUAUGUCAAAAAGGCAGACAGAAGCACUUGGUAAAUGAUGGGAAUAAAUUACAGGACGGCAACUUGCCAAAUAUAGCACCUUGACUGUGACUUUUGGCAAUUACCUGGUAGCUGGCUGAGAAUGAGCCAUGUUGGACCAGCUCUGCUGCUGGUUAGACGUCAACUCUGACCGGUUUUGGUGCAACUAUUGCAAACAUCUUCAGAGGACUUGAUCGUAACAACUGGGCAAGUCUGGUUCGCAUGUGAUGCCCACGAAUACUCUACAAAACUGAGGAAUAGUCUGGACAUAUCCAACAUAAGGAUGUAACUGUAAAAAGAAGCACGAAAGAUCCUUAGUAAAUACAUCAAGUCUCAGGUAUUGAAGACUACCUCCUUAUAGUAUCAUGUAACAACACGAGGUAUACAUAAAAAACUCUUCCCAAGAAUCAAGGAUGAAGACCUACUCCGACAAUGGAAUUGUCGCAAAACACUUUAACAUAUUAAACCAUAAUGUCUGACAUGUAAAGGAGCAUAAAUGAUGACCCUGAUACAGAUAGAAGGUACGAAAUUUCAGUUCAUCCUAGAGAACACCUGUUGAAGUUUAAAUCCAUUUCAGCUAGUGGAUUCUAUACUUAGUUUACAAAACAAACAAUCAACCAGGAUGCAGAUUUUGACAACAACCAAAGGAUCAGUGCAAUACCUCUAACACAAGCUAAAAGUUCAUAAAAAACAUGACUUAAAUGAUGUGAAUAUCAAACUGUCAUGAUAUAACACCAGGCAUUAAACCACAAUCUGUAAACCACAUACAAAAUUAAUUACCAAAAUGCAAUAUGUUUUAAAAUGUACAAUGUAAAGACAUAAAUGGUAUGCUGUUGGUAACAUUCUUUUAAGUCUAAACAAUGAUACCCAAAAUGAACUCAUUAAAAUACUAUAAAUUGUGAUACUAAGGGUCAAUGUACAUAGUAUUGACUUCAAUUUGGACUUUACAAGGCACCAAUGCAGUACAAAGUUAUGCAGUGCCAAAUGGGACUAAAAAUUUUGGUUUCACAUCUCAUUUACAGUGAAAUAAAAUAUGAUGUAACUUGAAUCAAAAGUUUUAUAUUUUCCGUAUAUUAUAGAGACAUGGAGAAACCAAGUGUUCACACCCUAUGAAUGGUCUCUUACGAUCAUGCAAGGGUAAGUCAUAAAGGUUUCAAUUGUUUUCAUACACAGGUCUUGUCCCAGAACCAAAUGGGACUAGAAUGUAAGAAAAAUUUUGAAGAACCUAAAAAACAGAAACAAUAUAAAGCAGCUGUUCGACAAAUCAUUAAUUUUACAGCAAAAAAAAAUAAAAUUCAAAUCAGAAAUUUGUUAU